rnacentral:rRNA from 1 species
AUUGAACGCUGGCGGCGUGCUUAACACAUGCAAGUCGAUCGGUAACAGGUGUAGCAAUACAUGCUGACGAGAGGCGGACGGGUGAGGAACGCUUGGGAAUCUGCCUAUCAGCGGGGGACAACCCGGGGAAACCCGGGCUAAUACCGCAUACGCUCUACGGAGGAAAGCCGGGGACCGCAAGGCCUGGCACUGAUAGAUGAGCCCAAGUCGGAUUAGCUAGUUGGCGGGGUAACGGCCCACCAAGGCGACGAUCCGUAGCUGGUCUGAGAGGACGAUCAGCCACACCGGAAGUGAGACACGGGCCGGACUCCUACGGGAGGCAGCAGUGGGGAAUAUUGGACAAUGGGCGAAGGCCUGAUCCAGCGACGCCGCGUGGGUGAAGAAGGCCUGCGGGUUGUAAAGCCCUUUCGGUAGGGACGAAAGCUCUCGACCUAACACGUCGGGAGGUUGACUUAACCUACAAAAGAAGCACCGGCUAACUCUGUGCCAGCAGCCGCCGUAAGAC